rnacentral:lncRNA from 1 species
AUGCAUGUCUUCCUGAAGAAGAGGCCAAAUGGGAGGAAGAUUCCCACCAAAGUGCACCUGCUGCCACUGCAGGGCCUGAGCAUCCAGCAUCAAGCACAAGGGCAGCGCCAGCACCUGCUCCGGCUGCCUCUGCACCCGAGGAAGAGGCUGAAGAGGAGGAAGGUGCCAAUGACCCUGCUGCUGCUGUCAGCCGUGGCCUGAGCAGCCAGCAUCAGUAAGUGCCUGUUUGGGUUAGCAGUGUCUUUGGUGACAUUUUGUCCCUCAUGUAAAAGCAGGGUUUGGGUUCGGGGCCUUGAGCUGGAGAAGUGGGCUGCAAAAGCUGAGAGGUGAAGAGCCCUGGAUGUGGCCAGCAGCAUCUUCCUCAGGGCUUGCAUUUGAAAUGAGAUCGGAGGGGCAUCUCUGCCAGGCACAUUUGUGACCCAAAUUAAUUUCUUGUCCCAGAGCUCCAGCUCCUCUGUCGUGGCACCUGCACAAGCUGCAGCUGAAGAAGCCUCCAGUGCCCAAGCUGGAAACUCAAGCAGGAGCAGCUCGUGCACCUGGAGCACGACUAGUUCCUCUGGCAGCAUGGAGCUGCUGGGAGAGAGGACAGAGGACAAGUGCCUGGCCAUGCUGAGUACGUCCUUUGUGACCCUUGUGUGCCGCAGCAGUGCCUGGUGUGUGUGUGCGUGUGUCAGC